CAGCAUCAAUCUGAGGAGUAUCAAGAGAGAUUACAGAGCCCUGGGAGCAGCAGUAAAGGACCUAGGAGUGCAGAUAUUGGAUCAUCCUAGUGCAUCCUAGACUAGACAUAUUAACUAAGGCACAUUGCAGCAGUCAAAGAAGUCAUUUGGCUUGGAAGGGACCUGCAGCAUUUUCCUUUGCUGAUCUGUAGCCCAAGGAUGCAAAAAUCCUUCAUCAACUCAUCGCAAACAUCUCUCCUUAUCUGUUGCUGAAGGGCAGUCUGGUGACGUUCCCACUGACUGGAAGAGGGGAAACAUUACCUUGAUUUUUAAAAAUGGAAAAAAGGAAGACCCAGAAAACUAUAGUCUCACCUCUGUGCCUGGCAAGACCAUGGAGAAGAUCCACAUAAAUGCAGGCUGGGCGGAGAAUGAACUGAGAGCAGCCCUGAGGAGAAGGACCUGGGGGUGUGAAACUCAACAUGAGCCAGCAAUGUGUGCUUGCAUCACGGAAAGCCAACUGUAUCCUGGACUGCAUCAAAAGAAGCCUGGCUAGCUGGUUGAGGCUAGCUGGUAGCCUCUUCUCUGCUCUUGUGAGACCCCACGUGGAGUACUGCAUUCAGCUCUGGGGCCCCCAGCACAAGAAGGACAAGGUCAUAUGAGAAAGAGUCCAGAGGAAAGCCACGAGGAUGGAGCACCUCUUCUAUGAAGACAAGUUCCGAGAGUUGGGUUCAUCCUGGAGAAGAGAAUGCUCCAUUGAGACAUUAUAGCAGCCUUCUCGUACCUAACUGGGGCCUGCAGGAAAGCAGGAGAGGGACUCUUUGUCAGGGAGUGUAGUAUUAGGGCAAGGAGUAAUGGUUUUAAACUAAAAAAGGAUAGAUUUAGAGUAGGUACUAGGAAGAAAUUCUUUCCUAUGAGGAUGGUGAGGCACUGGACCAGGUUGCCCAGAGUAGUUGUGGAUGCCCCAUCCCUGGAGAAACCUGGUCUAGUGGAAGGUGUCCCUGCCCAUGGCAGGGGGGUUGGUAUUAGACAAUCUUUAAGGUCCCUUCCAGCCAAACCAUUUUAUUAUUCUAUGAUUUUGUGUAUCUAGAGUGAGUCUCCUAGUCUUGGCUCAGCCAUGUACUUGUUGCAUAAAAUUGAAUGAGCCAUCCAAUAUCUUGCCUCAGAUUUACCACCUGUGGAAUGGUAUAAAUUAUUUCUCUUUCUGCUUCUACAGUGAUAUUUUACAGUCUCUCUUUCUCUCUCUAUACUCUCACUGCUCUCUUCAUAUUUUUCCAACUGUCAGAUAAUGACAAUGCAAUGCUCUUGGCAUUGUUAUUUUCUCCCAGUAUGUUUUACACAUUACACUUUACAUUUUAAUAAUUGAAUAGAGACCAUAAAUAUCCCUGGGAAAAGGCAAUGGAUCACUGGACUCUGCUCUUACAUGUUUUUAUCUUCUUGGCACCUUAAUUCUUGAUU